AGUAAAGCAAGGGGUAUAAAUUACGGAACUAAUGGAAACCCCUUCAAAACCACUGAUCAAAUAACAUUUCCUUUCCAACAGGCUAUUCUUACUUCUCUUAAGCGAAAAGUGGUUAUGGUGCUCCAUUUCACUGAUAUACUGGACUUGAGAACAGAAGGAGUAACAGAAAAGCAGAAUAUCGGACAAAUGUACAUCUAAAUUUGCUUUGAUUUUUCUCUACAUAGAAGUUGUGCAACCUUUACCAGAACAGAAGAUGGAGCAUGGCUAUAAUUUGACUGGUAUACGUGUGAUGUGGUCAUUUCUGCACUAGUGAGGAACAGCUUACAAUAAACUGUAAUACCUCCACAUUACUAUAACUGUAGUCACAGUAUGGACUGUACUCAUAAAGAAAUGACAAAUCAUACUAUAGGGGAUUAUGGCUCGCUAUUUUUCUGAAUUAAAGUGGUAAGUAUUUCUCCACAUGAACUUGCCCAGAAGUCAAACAAUCAAUUCUUUUUUAUAAAAAAAGGCAAAGGAUUUGGCAUAUUCAUGAAAAUUGAAUUUUCACCUAUCUAGAGGUUGCAGUGCAGCCAUCCCUCUUUACUUCUCACUACAUAACCUUUGAGCUGGGUAGUGGAUGUUUCUCUUUUUUAUAUCUGUAAUAUUUACUUUUUACUGUCAAGACAUACGUCACAUAAUCCAAGAAAAUGAUGAACAUUUUGUCUGCUCCACAAAUCAGUAUAGUCCAUGCUUUAGCUUCUAUGUGUGAAGUCAUAUGUGCAUAUCAGACUUUCAUAUUUGUCAAAAAUUUUUCCUAGUGGAGUGAUUUAAUGUGAGGCUUUAGAAAUUACUCUGUUCUUUUGCAAACCAGAACAGCCAGACUGCAAGCUGGUGAUCCAGUGAUCUAGGAGUGUAGACUGGAAAUAGAGCUUCUUCCUUGCUGCUUUGACUGUGCACAACGCUUAAAGGUAGUCACAUAGUGAUCAUCCUCAGUGGAAUUUACCCCACUGACUCACUAGUACCAAGUGGUAAUUGUACCCAUGCAAGGAGGAGCAAACCCAUCAAGCUAAAGCUGCCCCAAAGACAGGGGAUGAAUAUGUAGAUCUUUAUCUUUAGUAACCAUAACAAAUCUCACUACAUUGUGUUGCAUAUUUUUAUGUUAACAAUAUUGAAUGAAAGGGUAUGACAUAAAGGAGCACCUCCCAAGAUAUCUGUAACAAUAACAGUUUACAAAUAUGGCUACUAAUUAAUUAGACGAAGGAAAAAUGGUGGACUUCAUCUUACUCCCUGUUGAAUAUCUGCAGUGUUUGUACCAGAUGCCUAUGCCUUUCUUUGCUAAGUCUGGACAGAAAUAGGCUCUUUUAUAUAUACUAUUUUACACAGUACGAUUCACCACACAGUACUGAAACAAAGCUGUAUUAACUUUGUCAUAAAAGUUAUGAUCUCAGGGCUCAAAGAAAAGAGGUUAUGUAAGGAGUGCAGUACUGGUAGGCCUUCUUAAAGAUUGUACAAUCUCAUUAUGCUUUUGUCCUGUUUCCACAUAAUUCAAGAAACUGUAGUUAGCUGAAAGUGCAAUUAAAGAAACAAACUGAGAAAAUUGAUAUGAAAUUAUCUAUUUUGUUCUGAUGAUGAUUUAUUUCUUUUUUUUGAUAGUUAACAGUCUAAAGUAAAAAUAUUAUUUUCACAAGAGGUAGACCCAAGCUUCCUCUGUGUAUGCGGACACACUUAGAUCUGUUUGUGUCUUACUAAUUGCAUAAAAUCUUGAUCAUACUUUUGAGCUUAUUUAAAAAGGGGCUUAAAUGAGAAGUUAGUGGAAAAACACACGGUCUCUCUGCCUACAUGGAUCAGAAUCAAUUCAGCAUAUGAAGGAUUGAAAAAGGAAGUGCAAAAGCCCUGCGAGCAUAAAACAAAGAUAGUCUGCCAAGGCAGAAUGAAAAGGGUCAAGGUAGCUUUGGCACACAGGGCCACGAGUAAUGAGCUGAGCUUAGAAUAGAACAUGUUAAUUGAAAGACUAAUGUUGUUUAUAUAACUGAAAAUACUAUAAAUAUGCAAUCUGGAAAUAAACUGGAGCUUGCUUGCCUGCUUGCUCGCCUGCUUGCUCGCUUGCUCGCUGCAGCUCAGCUCGGCUUCUCAUCCUGUGCCUGAUUAUCUGUCUCCAUCAACCAUUUGCAACACUUAAACUUCCGUUUCCUCAAACAAAUCUGUCAGUAAUUUCUCCAGGGUAUCAGCCUUCCCUGAACUUAUUUCGGCUGCCUGAAUUUCAGUUAGGUCUUGAAAAGCGUUGAUUGGAAUUGACAGAAAAGAGAAACUCCUCUGACAUAGAUAGUAUCACAGCAUUAAUUAACUUAAAGAAAUAAUCGCUGUUUUAUUCACUUUUCAUCUUCCUGAUACACAGCUAGCAGGUCAAUCUGUGCAUGGAUGUAGACAGAACAGGUGUUAAUCCCUUUUGGUUUGGUAAUAUACUAAAGGCAUUCAUCAGUAAGUAGACAUGGCAAAUGAAUAAAGGACGUAUAAUAAUUUCACUGAAAUAAAUGUAAAGAUACACAGUAACUGGUUUUUGGAGCAUGUCUUACCUGAGGAAGUAAAGCUCAGUUUUUCACCCUUGGGCCACCAACUGGCAGGGACCUGAAAGUUUAUUGUGAAAACAGGUCAACAUAGUUGCAAAGAAAGCUGCAUCCACUUAAUUCACUGAUAGGUUACUUUGCUUUGGGAAAAAGCAAAAAGACACUAAACUGAAUAGUCCAGGGUCUUCCGAGUUGUUCAAAACUCCAGUUUUGGAAUCCUCAACGUAAGAAGGAUAUGGAGCUGUUGGAGUGGAUCCAGAGGAGGUCUACAAAGAUGAUCGGAGGGCUGGAGCACCUCCCCUACAAGGACAGGCUGAGAGAGUUGGGCCUGUUCAGCCUGGAGAAGAGAAGGCUCAGAGGAGAUCUUAUAGCAACCUUCCAUACGUGAAGAGGGCCUACAGAAAAGCUGGGGAGGGGCUAUUCAUAAAGGCUUGUGGGGAUAAGACCAGGGGAAAUGGGUAUAAACUGGAGAGGGGCAGAUUUCUUCACCGUGAGAGUGGUGAGAUGCUGGAACAUGUUGCCCAGGGGAGCUGUGGCUGCCCCAUCCCUGGAAGUGUUCAAGGCCAGGCUGGAUGGAGCCUUGCACAGCCUGAUCCAGUGGGAUGUCCCUGCACAUGUCUGGGGUGUUGGAACUAGAUGAUCUUUAAGGUCCC